GAUGAACGCUGGCGGCGUGCCUAAUACAUGCAAGUCGAGCGAACGGACGAGAAGCUUGCUCCUCUGAUGUUAGCGGCGGACGGGUGAGUAACACGUGGAUAACCUACCUAUAAGACUGGGAUAACUUCGGGAAACCGGAGCUAAUACCGGAUAAUAUUUUGAACCGCAUGGUUCAAAAGUGAAAGACGGUUUUGCUGUCACUUAUAGAUGGAUCCGCGCCGCAUUAGCUAGUUGGUAAGGUAACGGCUUACCAAGGCAACGAUGCAUAGCCGACCUGAGAGGGUGAUCGGCCACACUGGAACUGAGACACGGUCCAGACUCCUACGGGAGGCAGCAGUAGGGAAUCUUCCGCAAUGGGCGAAAGCCUGACGGAGCAACGCCGCGUGAGUGAUGAAGGUCUUCGGAUCGUAAAACUCUGUUAUUAGGGAAGAACAUAUGUGUAAGUAACUAUGCACGUCUUGACGGUACCUAAUCAGAAAGCCACGGCUAACUACGUG
rnacentral:rRNA from 1 species